UUUCCAUUUAAUCGAUAUUUAAAAAUUGGGUUGUUACACUUUCUCUCUCACUUAUAUUCUAGGUUUGGCUUAUGGAACUUCAGUACCAUCGUACCACCACCAUUGCAACUACUACACCACUCUCAAAUGUUAGACCCACCAUAACCAGACCCACUCCUCCCUUCUUCUCUCCAAAACAUGUCCAUCCGUCAUAUGCCUCCACACACCGACCAUUUUGUUGUCUCCCUUACCACAAUCUUCCACAAACAUCCACUCCUCUUUUUCUCCUCAUUUUGUCUUUCUUUCUUUCUCCAGAAUCGUUGUUGUAAUUAUUUCCUUAUGUCGACUUGAUUUGUGUGGAUCUAAAUCUGGUUAUAGAUAUGUAUGUCGAUUUGAAUUGGUUCUACAGCUGACCAUUUUCGAUGGACGGAACAUAUUGAUUUUGUUGUUUGAUUUAUAAGGCUUUCUUUAUAAAUGUCUUUCUUUAAUUUAUAGUUUUUUUUAUUUUUAUUUUUUUUAUUUUUACAAAUGAUUAUUCUUAGUUUUUUUUCUGCAUCUAAGAAACAAAUAGGAAGACGUGUUAACAGCUAAAAUAUCAUUUGUGUGUCUUUCUAUAUAAAGAUCCAGAAACAAACGGAAGAUGUGUUAACACCUUCGUCGGCGACCACCACCUCUACUAUACUUCACUGCAACAUCUUCGUCGUCUCAUCCCCAACAUCAAACAACCGCUACCAUUACUAUUUUCACAACAAAACCAUUACUAUGUCUUCGCCUUUACCUAUAUCAUUUCUAAAAAUCUCAUCACCUCUUCUUUUAUCACUCAAAUGGGUUAUUAGAUCUGAGAAAAUAAUUGGGUUUCUGAUCAUUUUGUGUGCGUAUGUAUAAAUCUGGUAUGCAAAAGAUCUAAAAUCUAUUUUUCAUCUUAUUUUUGUUGUUUUGAGCUCAUUAACUUAAUUUUUCAUCUUAUUUUCGUUGUUUUAGGGUUGUUCACAUGAUGUUCAAGUCUGUGUAUAUGUGUAUGUUUAUUUGAUCAAGAUGUGUGUUUGUUUUUUAUAUAGUUUUGUAGGUGUUUAGUAUAGAUUUUAGUGUUUUGUAGACAUAUCUUUGUAAAUUUUAUUUUGUAAAGAUUUAUUUUUGGUCGACAAUAUUAUUAUUAAUGUUCUUAACGGUAAACAGUGUAGAUCUUAAUGUUUUGUAGUGUAAAUCUUAGUUUCUAAUAUAUGUUUGGGUUGAGAAAAAAUUGUAAUUAUGUUGAAACUUUGUUAUUUCAUUGAAUUUAUCUUAAGAAAGCUUCCUGAUAUGAGAAAAGCAUUUUGUUUUAUGUAAGAUUUUUAGUUGUGUGUUAUGAUUUAGAUGGUGCUUAUCAUGUUUGUUCCAUGAGAUAUUUUUUGUAACUUGGUCCUUAUUAUGAUAUUUAUGACAAUUUGCACCUCAAUGGUUAGAAAUUCCUUUAAAUCAACGGCUCUUACAAACCUAAGUGCUAUGAUAUUCCUUUAAAUCAAGUUUUAGUCUUAUUUCACUAAAGUUCCUUGAUAUGCUCUUGCUGUUUAUCAAGUUGUAGUCUGAUGCUUGAUUAAAGUGCUAUGAUAUUUCAAACGUAUUAGCAAGAGUUUUGACUAAAAUACCUAUGAUGUUUUGGGCAAAAUUUCAUUAAUCUUGCUGAUGUUGUGGUUUCCAUUUGACUUAUUCCCAUAAU
rnacentral:lncRNA from 1 species